AAGUUAGUUUCUGUAAUUAAACGCAGGUCCAUUUUGAGAUUUUCAUUGAUAUAUUUUAGAAAAAUGUCAUCUGCAUUUUUGCGACUCAUGUCAGCGUUCAUGGUUUGUGCACUGUGGAUUAAAGGUCUGGAUUCUGUUUUACAUUCCCAGAUUCCUGAAGUUAACAGAUAUACGAGUGUAGGAGAUCAGUACUCAGGACACGGGAAUAAAAAACCCCCACCAAGACCUUUAAGACCUUCAAGACCUUUAACACCUUCUGCCUCUAGUUAUACAGAUUCAGAAAUCAAUGGCAGUGGGGAUUGUGGUACAUACAAAUGUCCCGCCAAAUGUGAAGGAUGCGCUGAUGAAUGUGGAACAUACCGCUGCUCUCCAGAAUGCUCCGGGUGCUCCCCGGAGUGUGGUACACCUAGAUGUUCCCCACAAUGUGAAGAAUGUGUGCCAGACUCAGAUUGUGGAUCGGAACGAUGUGACCCGGUUUGUGAUAACUGUGAACCAGAAUGUGAAACCGAAACCUGCCCAGAUAGUUGUGAUUGUAAUGAAAACUGUGUGCCUCAAUUCAAAGAAGCGCAUUUUCAAAGUAUAGAGAAUGGAAACUGUUGUGGAAUUCCUAAAAUGCGCCGUCAAAAGCUGGUGGACGGAUUCAAAGAUUAUUGUGAUGCUGUCUGCAGAUCUCCAGACCUUGCUCCGGACGCCUGCCAUGAGCUAAAUCCUGCAUUCCCAUUCCUGUGUUUCUGUAACAAGCAACCCAAACCCUUCCCACCUGUUAAGAACUGCAACGACGACGAAUAUGACGGCAAAGUAAAGGAGGCAAUUUUGUGUGAUGCAAAUCUCCUGGGAUUUCUGGACGCUGCUGAAAAGACAACGUUGAACGAACUAUGUGCGUGUACCAAGCAAGCCUGUAGAGCUAAGCUGGGUUGGAGGGCCCUGUGCACAUGUCAACUCAAGCCUAUAUAAUAAUAGAGUUUAAGUUCCCAACUUCUCCCUGUUUACCAGAGCUGAAUAUUACGCAAAACUGCAACAGAAUGUCGUUUUCAUUGUAUUGGGCUGAUUGUGAAGGAGUGCUUGAUGAAUUUAUACCUAUUACGCAUUAUUUUAUGUCAAUAAAAUAUAAAAACUUUACCAUA